GAUAAACGCGGGCGGUGUACAUAAGACAUGCAAGUCGAACGGGAGAAGACAGGAAGAUUUAUCUACUUGUUGGACACCGUGGCGGACGGGUGAGUAACACGUAAGCAACCUGCCUAUAAGAGGGGAAUAACAGUGAGAAAUUACUGAUAAUACCGCAUAAGCUGGAGGUAUCGCAUGAUACAUUCAGAAAAGAUUUAUCGCUUAUAGAUGGGCUUGCGUCUGAUUAGCUAGUUGGUGAGAUAACAGCUCACCAAGGCGACGAUCAGUAGCCGGAUUGAGAGGUUGAACGGCCACAUUGGGACUGAGACACGGCCCAGACUCCUACGGGAGGCAGCAGUCGGGAAUAUUGCACAAUGGAGGAAACUCUGAUGCAGUGACACCGCGUAUAGGAAGAAGGUCAUAGGAUUGUAAGCUAUUGUCGUGUGAGAAG
rnacentral:rRNA from 1 species